rnacentral:rRNA from 1 species
CGCGGCCUAUCAGCUUGUUGGUGAGGUAAUGGCUCACCAAGGCGACGACGGGUAGCCGGCCUGAGAGGGCGACCGGCCACACUGGGACUGAGACACGGCCCAGACUCCUACGGGAGGCAGCAGUGGGGAAUAUUGCACAAUGGGCGAAAGCCUGAUGCAGCGACGCCGCGUGAGGGAUGACGGCCUUCGGGUUGUAAACCUCUUUCAGCAGGGAAGAAGCGAAAGUGACGGUACCUGCAGAAGAAGCGCCGGCUAACUACGUGCCAGCAGCCGCGGUAAUACGUAGGGCGCGAGCGUUGUCCGGAAUUAUUGGGCGUAAAGAGCUCGUAGGCGGCUUGUCACGUCGGUUGUGAAAGCCCGGGGCUUAACCCCGGGUCUGCAGUCGAUACGGGCAGGCUAGAGUUCGGUAGGGGAGAUCGGAAUUCCUGGUGUAGCGGUGAAAUGCGCAGAUAUCAGGAGGAACACCGGUGGCGAAGGCGGAUCUCUGGGCCGAUACUGACGCUGAGGAGCGAAAGCGUGGGGAGCGAACAGGAUUAGAUACCCUGGUAGUCCACGCCGUAAACGGUGGGCACUAGGUGUGGGCGACAUUCCACGUCGUCCGUGCCGCAGCUAACGCAUUAAGUGCCCCGCCUGGGGAGUACGG